rnacentral:misc_RNA from 1 species
GAUGAAGAACGCAGUGAAAUGCGAUAAGUAAUGCGAAUUGCAGAAUUCAGUGAAUCAUCGAAUCUUUGAACGCACAUUGCGCCCGUCAGUAUUCUGGCGGGCAUGCCUGUUCGAGCGUCAUUACGCCCCUCAAGUCCCCUGUGGACUUGGUGUUGGGGAUCGGCGAGGCUGGUUUUCCAGCACAGCCGUCCCUUAAAUUAAUUGGCGGUCUCGCCGUGGCCCUCCUCUGCGCAGUAGUAAAACACUCGCAACAGGAGCCCGGCGCGGUCCACUGCCGUAAAACCCCCCAACUUUUUAUAGUUGACCUCGAAUCAGGUAGGACUACCCGCUGAACUUAAGCAUAUCAAUAAGCGGAGGA